GAUGAACGCUAGCGGGAGGCUUAACACAUGCAAGUCGAGGGGCAGCAUUUACUUCGGUAAGAUGGCGACCGGCGCACGGGUGCGUAACGCGUAUGCAACCUACCUUAUACAGAGGGAUAGCCCAUGGAAACGUGGAUUAACACCUCAUAGUAUUAUUUUUUCACCUGAUUAAAUAAUUAAAACUUCGGUGGUAUAAGAUGGGCAUGCGUAGGAUUAGGUAGUUGGUGAGGUAACAGCUCACCAAGCCGACGAUCCUUAGGGGUUCUGAGAGGAUUAUCCCCCACACUGGUACUGAGACACGGACCAG
rnacentral:rRNA from 1 species